rnacentral:rRNA from 1 species
GGGUUGUGAGGUUAAGCGACUAAGCGUACACGGUGGAUGCCCUGGCAGUCAGAGGCGAUGAAGGACGUGCUAAUCUGCGAAAAGCGUCGGUAAGGUGAUAUGAACCGUUAUAACCGGCGAUGUCCGAAUGGGGAAACCCAGUGUGUUUCGACACACUAUCAUUAACUGAAUCCAUAGGUUAAUGAGGCGAACCGGGGGAACUGAAACAUCUAAGUACCCCGAGGAAAAGAAAUCAACCGAGAUUCCCCCAGUAGCGGCGAGCGAACGGGGAGGAGCCCAGAGCCUGAAUCAGUGUGUGUGUUAGUGGAAGCGUCUGGAAAGGCGUGCGAUACAGGGUGACAGCCCCGUACACAAAAAUGCACAUGCUGUGAGCUCGAAGAGUAGGGCGGGACACGUGGUAUCCUGUCUGAAUAUGGGGGGACCAUCCUCCAAGGCUAAAUACUCCUGACUGACCGAUAGUGAACCAGUACCGUGAGGGAAAGGCGAAAAGAACCCCGGCGAGGGGAGUGAAAAAGAACCUGAAACCGUGUACGUACAAGCAGUGGGAGCCCUGAUUUAUCAGGGUGACUGCGUACCUUUUGUAUAAUGGGUCAGCGACUUAUAUUCUGUAGCAAGGUUAACCGAAUAGGGGAGCCGGAGGGAAACCGAGUCUUAACUGGGCGUUAAGUUGCAGGGUAUAGACCCGAAACCCGGUGA